AGAGAGAGAGAGAGAGAGAGUAGAAGAGUUGUGGGAGGGCGUUUAGUGUAAAAUUAAGGGGCAGGUCUUGGAAAGCAGCCACAAAGUAACACAAUGUUCCGGCUGUACUGUAGCCGUACCGCUGCUGAUGAGAACACUGUGUUCCAAUAGACACCCUGACCUGUAACCCGUUCCGUGCCGAGCCAGGCCGGGAACAGUACAGUCUGUACCGCAGCAGGCUGUCCUCUCCUCAGUUUACAACACGUAUCAACACUGUCGUGUAAUAGCCGAGCCCUAACCACACAGACGGGAUGUGUAAGCACCUAAAUAAAAGCACACCCUAGGCCUACUGCCCGAUAAGUCGUGAGCUGAGACGGAUUACGGUUUCUGUAAACCGCGCUUUUUUUUAUUAUUAUUAUUUUUGUUUACCGGGGAUUUUGACGCUAAAGUAAAUUUGCUGUAACGUUUAACUUAUGUAAAGCUUGAACUGGAAGUCGUUCUGGUCCACCUUCUUGAAGGACAUCUCAAAGCUCUUAUUCCUGCUCCGAGAAGUGAGGACAAAGGAUUGAGGAGGGAUCGAGGAGGAGCUAUGACCGAGGAUACACGAGAGCAGCCUUCCUGGAAGCCGUGCAGCUUAAAGCCAUUGCUAACUACACCCAUACAGCUGACAGAUUUAUGUGACACGUCAGAGGAAAGAAUGUUUAAUUUCUCACAUUUCUUCGUUUCCUCUCUCCUCGCGUCCCUCCCAUGCUUCCUCGGUGGUGGGAUGGACUAAGACGCGAGGAAGGGAAACAAGCGAUGGAAACAUGGAUGCAAUUUAAGGACCAGGGACGUACCCACUGUGUCAUCCUGUGUUUCCUUGAGAAAUGCUGCAUCAGACCAUGAGAUGGCGGAAUACACUCUGGAAGUGAACAACACUCAGGUAGUUGUUCCAUCCACCUGGAAUUUAAACAAGAGAUAAGUCAGUCAUGUGUUUUUUUAAACCAAAUUUGAAAUGUAAAAUAUCUCUCUUAAUAGCACUGUGCACUUAAACACCAGCUCCUACCUGAGGCCCUGAUGAAGUGAAAGAUAAACUCCAUAUGGUCCUGGCUGAAGCAGUAUGUGCACACAGCAGCUCUGCUAUCAUCAGGGUUAUGUGUCAAUGUUGAUGAUAAAACCAGUCACAGACAGAUACCUUUGAAAUAUAGAAAAAUAGCAGUAUGCAAAUACUCUCUGUAUAAAACCAUCAACUCAGUCUUAUGAUAUUAAACAAAGUUAAAGUGAAUAUUAUUGUAUGCUUUGAACUAGAACAUACUUGGGAAAAUGGAUUCGGUAAAGAAAUUACAACCCUGCAGGGAACUAUUUUCGUAGUACCAAAAACAAAACAUGCGCAUGCAAGCACAUGAUAUGAAUAUACAUUAGAUUACAUAUGUGUGUGUUUUUUACAUAUUUGGUAUGACUGUUGUUACAGAAAAUGACAUUUUGAAAAAAAUAAAAAAUGUUGGAUAAUUUAAAUAGAAAGCAUUUCAUGAAAUGAUGUAGAUGGAAGCUCAAUUAAAAUUUUUUUUUGGGAUUUCACAAUAAAAUGCUAUCAACUGUGGUGAUACUGCAAUCUAAAAUUGUGUGAUGAUGAGGCAUGUAUUUAAACUCCUGCAAAAUUAUAAAUGUUACACAUGCUUAAA